rnacentral:lncRNA from 1 species
GUAGACCUAAUUAGUAAUUGUAUAGUGUUAGUUCAUUCUAAAUUUAUCAUACAUUUACGUACAAAUAAUUAGCAAAAAUCUCUGAUUUGAACAAUAAUAAAAACGAUAGUACGUACUACGGGAUGAUCUUGUUUUAAUCUUUUUUUUUUUUAUUAUUAUCUUGUUUUAAUCUUCUCUUAAAUGAGAUUAGGAUUUGAUCAACCAAGUUUGACAUUGUGUAUUAGUCUUAUAGGAAGAAGAAUAUAUUAAUCAAGUUUUCAAGAUUCUUUC